rnacentral:lncRNA from 1 species
UGAAACACAAAGAAAUCUGGAGAAACAGUGACUUAUAUUAAGAAAAACAAUUUUAACUUACUAUUUGCAGGAGCAGUGGGGAGCAAAUAUUAGAUGUGUGGUCAUAUCAAAAAAGAAUAUUAAAUUCUAUCUUAUAAAGCUGGAGCAAUCACAACAUGUAGUUGAGACUUUUUUUAAAAGGCACAAAAGACAAUAAAAGACUGAAAAGAAAAUUAAAUUGAUAUUAUAUCUUCUGAGUCUGUGGACAUGGCCAACUGUGCACGGUGCAGCAGGAGCUGGAGGGGAUGGGCACUGUGUCAGCAUGAAAGAGGACCAAAAAGAAGGAUAAAGAGGAGAGAAGAAGGUGGAGAAGGAAAGAAAGAAAUCAAGAGGAGGAAUAGAGAGGAGGAAGAGAAGGAAGGAGAAGGAGAACAAGAAAGAAGAAAGAAGGGAAUUUCCACAAAUAAUAUCCAGUGACCUGAGCUUGAAACACUCAGGAGUAACUCAGCCAAAUUGCUCUCCCUGGGAGUCAAGGGAGAAGCAUAAGGGUGGCAAUGAGGAAGGACUCCAGUCUUCCUUCAGAAUUCACUAUGUGGAAGCCUAACAGGAAGGCAGCUGAAAAAGUGGAAAUGUAGUUUGCGGAGCCCCAGACCUACUAAGACAA